rnacentral:rRNA from 1 species
GACGAACGCUGGCGGCGUGCUUAACACAUGCAAGUCGAGCGGUAAGGCCCUUCGGGGUACACGAGCGGCGAACGGGUGAGUAACACGUGGGUGACCUGCCCUUAGCUCUGGGAUAAGCCUGGGAAACUGGGUCUAAUACUGGAUAUGACUCCACGGCGCAUGUUGUGGGGUGGAAAGCCUUGUGCGGCUGGGGAUGGGCCCGCGGCCUAUCAGCUUGUUGGUGGGGUGAUGGCCUACCAAGGCGA